AACCUCUGGAGAAUCUCUUUAGUGAGUGCCGACGGUGCAAGGCUAUUGUGUCUUCCACACAACACAGUAGCUGAAUCUCUCAGGCAAACGGACAGAGGCG
rnacentral:ncRNA from 1 species